UGCUUUUCUGAGGAUUGGUAGACACCGAU
rnacentral:piRNA from 1 species